GAUGAACGCUAGCGGCAGGCCUAACACAUGCAAGUCGAGGGAGAAGCCCUUCGGGGCAGAAACCGGCGCACGGGUGCGUAACGCGUAUGCAACCUACCUUUCACAGGGGGAUAGCCCGAAGAAAUUUGGAUUAAUACCCCAUAAUAUUAUUGGAUGGCAUCAUUUGAUAAUUAAAAUUACGAUGGUGAAAGAUGGGCAUGCGUCCUAUUAGCUAGUUGGAGUGGUAACGGCACCCCAAGGCUACGAUAGGUAGGGGUCCUGAGAGGGAGAUCCCCCACACUGGUACUGAGACAGGGACCAGACUCCUACGGGAGGCAGCAGUGAGGAAUAUUGGUCAGUGGUCGGAAGACUGAACCAGCCAUGCCGCGUGCAGGAAGAAUGCCUUAUGGGUUGUAAACUGCUUUUAUAUGGGAAGAAUAAGGAGUACGCGUACUUUGAUGACG
rnacentral:rRNA from 1 species